rnacentral:rRNA from 1 species
GAUGAACGCUGGCGGCGUGCCUAAUACAUGCAAGUCGAGCGAACGGACGAGAAGCUUGCUUCUCUGAUGUUAGCGGCGGACGGGUGAGUAACACGUGGAUAACCUACCUAUAAGACUGGGAUAACUUCGGGAAACCGGAGCUAAUACCCGAUGAUAUUUUGAACCGCAUGGUUCAAAAGUGAAAGACGGUCUUGCUGUCACUUAUAGAUGGAUCCGCGCUGCAUUAGCUAGUUGGUAAGGUAACGGCUUACCAAGGCAACGAUGCAUAGCCGACCUGAGAGGGUGAUCGGCCACACUGGAACUGAGACACGGUCCAGACUCCUACGGGAGGCAGCAGUAGGGAAUCUUCCGCAAAGGGCGAAAGCCUGACGGAGCAACGCCGCGUGAGUGAUGAAGGUCUUCGGAUCGUAAAACUCUGUUAUUAGGGAAGAACAUAUGUGUAAGUAACUGUGCACAUCUUGACGGUACCUAAUCAGAAAGCCACGGCUAACUACGUG